CUCUAGUCCAGAUAGAAGGUAAAAUCCUUUUGUGUCGGGUUUCAGUAUAAAAGAUUGGAAUGAUAGCUGAAAUAGCU
rnacentral:sRNA from 1 species